UAGUGGCGAACGGGUGAGUAACACGUGGGCAAUCUGCCCUUCACUCUGGGACAAGCCCUGGAAACGGGGUCUAAUACCGGAUAACACUCUGUCCCGCAUGGGACGGGGUUGAAAGCUCCGGCGGUGAAGGAUGAGCCCGCGGCCUAUCAGCUUGUUGGUGGGGUGAUGGCCUACCAAGGCGACGACGGGUAGCCGGCCUGAGAGGGCGACCGGCCACACUGGGACUGAGACACGGCCCAGACUCCUACGGGAGGCAGCAGUGGGGAAUAUUGCACAAUGGGCGAAAGCCUGAUGCAGCGACGCCGCGUGAGGGAUGACGGCCUUCGGGUUGUAAACCUCUUUCAGCAGGGAAGAAGCGAAAGUGACGGUACCUGCAGAAGAAGCGCCGGCUAACUACGUGCCAGCAGCCGCGGUAAUACGUAGGGCGCAAGCGUUGUCCGGAAUUAUUGGGCGUAAAGAGCUCGUAGGCGGCUUGUUGCGUCGGUUGUGAAAGCCCGGGGCUUAACCCCGGGUCUGCAGUCGAUACGGGCAGGCUAGAGUGUGGUAGGGGAGAUCGC
rnacentral:rRNA from 1 species